GCCAGAAUGAAGGUUUACAUGUGCCUGCUUCUCCUGAUGGUCGUUGGAUGUGCCUUGUGUUUUGCAGAGAAAUUUCUUGCCGAGAAGUUGAUGCAAGACCUGGAAUCUCGCGGAAUAGUGAAGAAGGCGAAGACUUGCACAACUGAUGCCGAAUGUGAUCCAAUGUAUUGUUCUAAACCUCCCGGUCACGAUCAGGGCUUUUGCUGGUGGGUGGGAAAAGGACGCUAGGAAUUCUGACAAUCAACAUGAAUGAAUUAAACCAUGAUCGUCAGUGGUUAACCGACAGCAAGGCUUUAUUCUGAUUCAAUAAAAAGAUUUGACAUUAAUUCAUUU